rnacentral:sRNA from 1 species
CCUCCUCCCCUUUCCUGCUUCUGCGAGAACUCCCUCCCUCCCUCCAGCUCCGCCAGCCCAGGCGCCCCUUCCCUGGAAGCCGAGCGGCUUCGCUCGCAUUUCACCGCCGCCGCCUCUCGCAAUAUUGCAAUAUAGGGGAAAAGCAGAGAAAACACUCAUUGAUCUUCAAAAUGAAAUGAGAUUUGGAACAAUAAUGGGAGAUGGCGGUCACCACAAUGGCAUGUGAAAGACCAUGGUGAAUCCGGGCAGCAGCUCGCAGCCGCCCCCGGUGACGGCCGGCUCCCUCUCCUGGAAGCGGUGCGCAGGCUGCGGGGGCAAGAUUGCGGACCGCUUUCUGCUCUAUGCCAUGGACAGCUAUUGGCACAGCCGGUGCCUCAAGUGCUCCUGCUGCCAGGCGCAGCUGGGCGACAUCGGCACGUCCUGUUACACCAAAAGCGGUAUGAUCCUUUGCAGAAAUGACUACAUUAGGUUAUUUGGAAAUAGCGGUGCUUGCAGCGCUUGUGGACAGUCGAUUCCUGCGAGUGAACUCGUCAUGAGGGCGCAAGGCAAUGUGUAUCAUCUUAAG